rnacentral:rRNA from 1 species
ACCGGCCAGGACGAACGCGGCGGCGUGCUAACACAUCAAGCGAACGAUGAACUCCAGCUUGCUGGGGGGAAUAGUGGCGAACGGGUGAGUAACACGUGAGUAACCUGCCCUUGACUCUGGGAGAAGCGUUGGAAACGACGUCUAAUACCGGAGACGACCAGCCUCGGCAUCGAGUGUUGGUGGAAAGAGCCCCUGGUCAAGGAUGGACUCGCGGCCUAGCAGGUAGUUGGUGAGGUAAUGGCGCACCAAGCCUACGACGGGUAGCCGGCCUGAGAGGGUGACCGGCCACACUGGGACUGAGACACGGCCCAGACUCCUACGGGAGGCAGCAGUGGGGAAGAUUGCACAUGGGGCGAAAGCCUGAUGCAGCAACGCCGCGUGAGGGACGACGGCCUUCGGGAUGUAAACCU